GGGCUGUGGCUCAGUGGCAGAGCGCUUGCCUAGCAUGCACGAGGCACGGGGUUUGAUCCUCUCAGCACCA
rnacentral:tRNA from 1 species